rnacentral:rRNA from 1 species
GAUGAACGCUGGCGGCGUGCCUAAUACAUGCAAGUCGAGCGAACGGACGAGAAGCUUGCUUCUCUGAUGUUAGCGGCGGACGGGUGAGUAACACGUGGAUAACCUACCUAUAAGACUGGGAUAACUUCGGGAAACCGUAGCUAAUACCGGAUAAUAUUUUGAACCGCAUGGUUCAAAAGUGAAAGACGGUCUUGCUGUCACUUAUAGAUGGAUCCGCGCUGCAUUAGCUAGUUGGUAAGGUAACGGCUUACCAGGGCAACGAUGCAUAGCCGACCUGAGAGGGUGAUCGGCCACACUGGAGCUGAGACACGGUCCAGACUCCUACGGGAGGCAGCAGUAGGGAAUCUUCCGCAAUGGGCGAAAGCCUGACGGAGCAACGCCGCGUGAGUGAUGAAGGUCUUCGGAUCGUAAAACUCUGUUAUUAGGGAAGAACAUAUGUGUAAGUAACUGUGCACAUCUUGACGGUACCUAAUCAGAAAGCCACGGCUAACUACGUG